CCGGCGAUUUCCGAAUGGGGAAACCCAGUGUGUUUCGACACACUAUCAUUAACUGAAUCCAUAGGUUAAUGAGGCGAACCGGGGGAACUGAAACAUCUAAGUACCCCGAGGAAAAGAAAUCAACCGAGAUUCCCCCAGUAGCGGCGAGCGAACGGGGAGGAGCCCAGAGCCUGAAUCAGUGUGUGUGUUAGUGGAAGCGUCUGGAAAGGCGCGCGAUACAGGGUGACAGCCCCGUACACAAAAAUGCACAUAUUGUGAGCUCGAUGAGUAGGGCGGGACACGUGGUAUCCUGUCUGAAUAUGGGGGGACCAUCCUCCAAGGCUAAAUACUCCUGACUGACCGAUAGUGAACCAGUACCGUGAGGGAAAGGCGAAAAGAACCCCGGCGAGGGGAGUGAAAAAGAACCUGAAACCGUGUACGUACAAGCAGUGGGAGCCUCUUAAUGGGGUGACUGCGUACCUUUUGUAUAAUGGGUCAGCGACUUAUAUUCUGUAGCAAGGUUAACCGAAUAGGGGAGCCGAAGGGAAACCGAGUCUUAACUGGGCGUUAAGUUGCAGGGUAUAGACCCGAAACCCGGUGAUCUAGCCAUGGGCAGGUUGAAGGUUGGGUAACACUAACUGGAGGACCGAACCGACUAAUGUUGAAAAAUUAGCGGAUGACUUGUGGCUGGGGGUGAAAGGCCAAUCAAACCGGGAGAUAGCUGGUUCUCCCCGAAAGCUAUUUAGGUAGCGCCUCGUGAAUUCAUCUCCGGGGGUAGAGCACUGUUUCGGCAAGGGGGUCAUCCCGACUUACCAACCCGAUGCAAACUGCGAAUACCGGAGAAUGUUAUCACGGGAGACACACGGCGGGUGCUAACGUCCGUCGUGAAGAGGGAAACAACCCAGACCGCCAGCUAAGGUCCCAAAGUCAUGGUUAAGUGGGAAACGAUGUGGGAAGGCCCAGACAGCCAGGAUGUUGGCUUAGAAGCAGCCAUCAUUUAAAGAAAGCGUAAUAGCUCACUGGUCGAGUCGGCCUGCGCGGAAGAUGUAACGGGGCUAAACCAUGCACCGAAGCUGCGGCAGCGACACUAUGUGUUGUUGGGUAGGGGAGCGUUCUGUAAGCCUGUGAAGGUGGCCUGUGAGGGUUGCUGGAGGUAU
rnacentral:rRNA from 1 species